rnacentral:rRNA from 1 species
GAUGAACGCUGGCGGCGUGCCUAAUACAUGCAAGUCGAGCGAACAGACGAGGAGCUUGCUCCUUUGACGUUAGCGGCGGACGGGUGAGUAACACGUGGGUAACCUACCUAUAAGACUGGGAUAACUUCGGGAAACCGGAGCUAAUACCGGAUAAUAUUUCGAACCGCAUGGUUCGAUAGUGAAAGAUGGCUCUGCUAUCACUUAUAGAUGGACCUGCGCCGUAUUAGCUAGUUGGUAAGGUAACGGCUUACCAAGGCAACGAUACGUAGCCGACCUGAGAGGGUGAUCGGCCACACUGGAACUGAGACACGGUCCAGACUACUACGGGAGGCAGCAGUCGGGAAUCUUCCGCAAUGGGCGAAAGCCUGACGGAGCAACGCCGCGUGAGUGAUGAAGGUCUUCGGAUCGUAAAACUCUGUUAUUAGGGAAGAACAAACGUGUAAGUAACUGUGCACGUCUUGACGGUACCUAAUCAGAAAGCCACGGCUAACUACGUG